AGUGAACGCUGGCGGUAGGCCUAACACAUGCAAGUCGAACGGCAGCACAGUAAGAGCUUGCUCUUACGGGUGGCGAGUGGCGGACGGGUGAGGAAUACAUCGGAAUCUACUUUUUCGUGGGGGAUAACGUGGAGAAACUUACGCUAAUACCGCAUACGACCUACGGGUGAAAGCAGGGGAUCUUCGGACCUUGCGCGAUUGAAUGAGCCGAUGUCGGAUUAGCUAGUUGGCGGGGUAAAGGCCCACCAAGGCGACGAUCCGUAGCUGGUCUGAGAGGAUGAUCAGCCACACUGGAACUGAGACACGGUCCAGACUCCUACGGGAGGCAGCAGUGGGGAAUAUUGGACAAUGGGCGCAAGCCUGAUCCAGCCAUACCGCGUGGGUGAAGAAGGCCUUCGGGUUGUAAAGCCCUUUUGUUGGGAAAGAAAAGCAGCAGGUUAAUACCCCGCUGUUCUGACGGUACCCAAAGAAUAAGCACCGGCUAACUUCGUG
rnacentral:rRNA from 1 species